rnacentral:rRNA from 1 species
AGAGUUUGAUCCUGGCUCAGGACGAACGCUGGCGGCGUGCCUAAUACAUGCAAGUAGAACGCACAGUUUAUACCGUAGCUUGCUACACCAUAGACUGUGAGUUGCGAACGGGUGAGUAACGCGUAGGUAACCUGCCUGGUAGCGGGGGAUAACUAUUGGAAACGAUAGCUAAUACCGCAUAAUAUUAAUUAUUGCAUGAUAAUUGAUUGAAAGGUGCAAUUGCACCACUACCAGAUGGACCUGCGUUGUAUUAGCUAGUUGGUGGGGUAACGGCUCACCAAGGCGACGAUACAUAGCCGACCUGAGAGGGUGAUCGGCCACACUGGGACUGAGACACGGCCCAGACUCCUACGGGAGGCAGCAGUAGGGAAUCUUCGGCAAUGGACGGAAGUCUGACCGAGCAACGCCGCGUGAGUGAAGAAGGUUUUCGGAUCGUAAAGCUCUGUUGUAAGAGAAGAACGAGUGUGAGAGUGGAAAGUUCACACUGUGACGGUAUCUUACCAGAAAGGGACGGCUAACUACGUGCCAGCAGCCGCGGUAAUACGUAGGUCCCGAGCGUUGUCCGGAUUUAUUGGGCGUAAAGCGAGCGCAGGCGGUUAGAUAAGUCUGAAGUUAAAGGCUGUGGCUUAACCAUAGUACGCUUUGGAAACUGUUUAACUUGAGUGCAAGAGGGGAGAGUGGAAUUCCAUGUGUAGCGGUGAAAUGCGUAGAUAUAUGGAGGAACACCGGUGGCGAAAGCGGCUCUCUGGCUUGUAACUGACGCUGAGGCUCGAAAGCGUGGGGAGCAAACAGAAUUAGAUACCCUGGUAGUCCACGCCGUAAACG